CGAGUUCUUUCCCCAGUUCUCAGCAUCCGAGCAACGUGAUUCACCCAGCAUAUGGAAGGUCUCUCCUGUGGGAUUCCGAGAGCUAUGCGACGCUCUUGUUCAAGGCGUUUUCGCUGGAUAACUGCCUCCUUGGCUCGGGCUUCAUUUAGUAGACGCUGCUGCUCAAAUGCAAUCUGCUCGCAGUGAAUUAAAGUUGGCAGCGGUUGCUGCUGUUGGGCUGCUGCUAUCUGCAAGAGCUGCUGUUGGAGCGGACGAACAUUUGGAUGAGUAAAAAGUGAUGUUGCAAUCCUGCUGCUAGACGUGUUAAAGAUGUCCUCUGCUGAGUCGAUGUUGUGUGCCUCUCGGAUGUCCUGGCUUCUGAUGUAUCUGCUGGCCAUUGCAAUCUUUCUCACGAGUCGGUUUUGCGUGCCUUCUAUCCUGCGGAAUUGAGAGUCACAUACCAAAGCUCCCCAAACAGCCGGCUCUGACUGCCUAUAAUCCAAUUCAACUUUAUGGCUGCUGUCCUCACUCUAUUCACCAGGCAGGAUACAUGUGCAUGCAGGACCAGCUUCCUGUCCAUUAUCAGGCCUAAGUAGCGGUGACUACGCUUAUUAACGAUAUGAGUAUCAUACAUUUUUGGUGACAGUUCGCUAAUUCCGUUUCCCAUUGAUUUCCUUGUGUAUAAUACAUGUAUCGU